UUAGCUUGCUUUCGCUUAAAAUUCUAACCUAAUUGAGGAUAUAUUGUUGCGCCUCUGUUUUUUGUGCGCUUCAUUUCGCGAUUUUCAGGAUUUAAUCCUACUUUUCAUCCUUUUCAACUCUUUUAAAGUCGUUUGUGGAUUGUGAUAAUUUGAUUUUGACUGAGAAAAAUAAGUUUCAACUAUGAUGUUUCACAAUUUGGGAUAGCUAUGUAAUCCAACAGAUAUGCCUUUUAAUUUCUAUGACCUUCUUUAUUUUUUUUCCUCCUCUCAUGGGUUACACAAAAAGCAUGAAUUUGUUUAAAAAAUUCAUGUCUAAUUUCAUAUUUCCCUGCCUUAGAUGUGAGGAUGGGUGAGAUGCCCAAUUUAGUGUUCAAUUUGAUAAGAAAUAGAUAAAUGAUGUUGAAUGGCAUAAUAUAAGCAACAUAUACAAUGAGCGAAAAUUUAAUGUACAUAUCAGUUCUGAAACAGUAGAAGAUUUGAAUUAGUGUUAAUUUCACAAGCACAUAUAUGUUUAUAGAUUAUUGAAAAGAAAGUUAAUAGUAAUCGUACUUAGAUCACAUUGUUAAUAGAAGGAUAUACCAUUUUAAAUCCAAGUCCGAAUCCUUGAAACUUUUUGUGCAUAUCCGGAGAUUGGAGCUGCUAAUCUUGAAACACAAUGAAUCAUAUGGUAAGAUUUCACUAAAAGCUAGAAGCUAUUACAUAAGUGAUGGACUCACAUAUUUAAUUUCAUUGUUCUGAAAUAUUAUCCCGUUAAUCUCCCUAUAUAAUUACUUUUCCAUGAAAACCAUACAAUUUUUUUCCAGACACUUCAAGAAACAACAGAAUUUCAUUUAGAAGAUAAUCUACAAAAUAAUAUCAAUAUGGCAAGUAAUUUUUCGAAAAGGCAGAUUCUCAUGCCAGGACUAAAAUUUGAAAAAGAAAAAAGAAAAAAAUCAGAAAUAAAAUUCAUUAAUGAUUUUGGUUUACGAACUAACUAUCAUGUACAUGAAGAUUUAUUGAUAGAUUUUCAAUAGAGGAUAAAACAAAGAAAAGAAUUUCUAAGAUAUCAAUGAAAGAUGUAGCAUUUAGGAAAUUAGAAACUUACAUCUUUUGCCAUCUUCAAUAUUUAGGCUAUCAAGACUAAGGAUUGUUCUAUUCAUCAUGUACUUUCAAUCUGACUUGAAUCACAAUUUAAGUAAGGUUUUCCAUGAGGAGAAAUGACUCAGUUUCUGCUAACAAGUAUAUUUCUAAGAUAUCAUGAAUAAAUCAGAAAUAAUUUUUAUUUGUAUUCUAUGUCAGAGAAAAUGCUUCUUGAGUGAGUUAAUAUUGUAAUUAACAACAACAACAACAAAAAGGUAAAUAUUGUAUAGUUGGUGACAUCAAUCUUAUUAUUAGUAGAGUUGACGCCAAAGAUUCACCUUGUACAAGAAUUGGUUAAUAUCAUUUCCCUCUUAAAGAAACAUAGUGAAUAUAUGGUUUAUGCUCUCUAACUCUUGUAGUUGAGUUGUAUAAGUUGCUCCAUUUAUAGCUAUUGUAGUUCCUGACUUCUUGUGAAUGAGGAGGAUUUACAGGUUCAAUUAAGGAACCAUUAGAUGCUAUUGCAAUUUUUGUUCUAGGUAGUGUUCAGAAAAUAAAAGUCAGAUAUAUUUGGGUCUCAAUAGUAUUUUUUAUUAAUCUGACUCUAUUCGCUUCUGAUGUUACCUCUGCCAGCAAACUAUUUCUGUUUACUUCAUGUGUUUUAAUUUCUAUAAUUGCAGUUUUGUAGGAAUAAUGGGUUCUGAACAAAAAAACAAACAUGUUUGCUCCGCAAAAUCGGAAGCUGAGAUGAAACUUAGGCGACAUGAAACAUACAGACUAAUAUCUGCAGAAAAAAAGGAAGCACUGUUACAACAGCGACGAACAAAAAGACGAGUUAAAAAGGAGUGGUCUUUCUGAGAAUGUUGCUUUUCCUAGCACUACUGCAGCUGCAACUGAGUUUCAGCAACAAAAUGUUCCUCUUAGGGGCUCUUCUUUUGUUUCAAGAACAGCCAACGAGGGUCGCGUUGAUGCUUUACCUGUUACAUUUGACAUGCAAAAGAGUAUAACUUGUCCCUUCUACUCCUUUGAAGUAGGCAAGUAUCGAGGAUGCAACGUUGACUUUUAGACAAUGUCUUUAUUUAUUGCUAAUUUAUUACUUUUUGGCGUUGGGCUCCACGUCACGUGCAUCCAAUGAAAACAGUAGUAUGAGCUCAACAAUGGUUGGAAAAAAAGGUUUGCACCAAUUUUUUAUUAUGAUAGUGUUGUAUAUUACCUAAUUGGUAAUUUUAUGCUAAUGAUACCUAAAUAUACAGGUUAUAACUCAAAAAAAAGUGUUGUACAUACGUAGGACAGUUACAAUCUGAUUAUAUUCCCUUGAAAACUGUUCCUAAUUGUAAAUUUUGUGGUGCAAAAAAAAUUUGAAUAUGAA